GGGCCCAUAGCUCAGUCGGUUAGAGCAGCGGACUCAUAAUCCGCCGGUCCCAGGUUCGAGUCCUGGUGGGCCCA
rnacentral:tRNA from 1 species